rnacentral:rRNA from 1 species
UACGGGGGGAGCAAGCGUUGUUCGGAUUUACUGGGCGUAAAGGGCGCGUAGGCGGUCAGCACAAGUCAGUUGUGAAAUCUCCGGGCUUAACUCGGAAAGGUCAACUGAUACUGUGCGACUAGAGUGCAGAAGGGGCAACUGGAAUUCUCGGUGUAGCGGUGAAAUGCGUAGAUAUCGAGAGGAACACCUGCGGCUAAGGCGGGUUGCUGGGCUGACACUGACGCUGAUGCGCGAAAGCCAGGGGAGCGAACGGG